rnacentral:rRNA from 2 species
UUGGGAAGUCCUCGUGUUGCACCCCG